UCGGGAGAUCUCUGGAUCUGAUAACAAGAAUACUCAAUUAAAUCUGAGACUUAUAUAAGGCCUAUCUAUCGGGAGAUCCCUGGAUCUGAUAACAAGAAUAAUUAACUGAAUCUGAGACUAAGAUUAAGCCUAUAUAUCGGGAUAUCUCUAGAUAUGAUAACAAGAAUACUCAAUAGGAACUGAGACUGAGAUCAAUUCUAUCUAACGGAUGAUCUCUAGAUAUG
rnacentral:lncRNA from 1 species